rnacentral:lncRNA from 10 species
GGAAGAAGGAAUCAGGAGGCAGAGCACAUGGUUAAAGCAUGAGAUGUGAAACCAGGAAGAACCAGGUCUGAACCUUAGCUCCACCAGUGGUAGCUUCAAACCUUGGUCCUUUCUGAGCCUGCUUCUUCAACCGUAAGGAACUCGGAAACGGGACCCAGAAAGUUGUUUUCUCAAGUGGAUGGAACAACACAAGCAAUCAAUGCAAUUUUACCAGACCAAAAACUGUCUAUAAAGAACAAAAUUAGUGGCCAGGUGCAGUGGCUCAUGUCUGUAAUUCCAGCACUUUGAGAGGAUGAGGUGGGAGGAUUACUUAAGCCCAGGAGUUCAAGACAAGCCUGGGCAACAUAGCAAGAUCCUGUCUUUACCAAAAAAACAAAAACAAAACAAAAAAACACAAAAUUAGUAGUUUCCAAGUUUUUCUUUCGUUAGUAUCAAUUUUUUAUUUGUUCUGUUUGCACCAGGCAUCAAGGCUU